CGCAGGAGGAGGAGCCAGAACCCAAACAGCAAUUUCUCAGUGCUUCCUAACUAACACACAAAAUCUAGUGCCUCGGGCCUGUCUUGUCACCCAGCCAGCCAGGGGCACCCCUGCCACCCAGACCUGAGGUUGGAGAGGGUCCUUGCUGCUGAAGUUUGGGGGUGGCUCCAGGCUGUGUGUGGGGCGCUCAUCUCCAGCCCGCAGGCAGGCGCAUGCCAGGAUGCUGGCUCGUUGCCCGGGCAGAGGAACACAGACUUGCUGCCGUGGAGUUAAUUAGGAAGAAGGGAGGUGGUGGAGGGAACUGGCAAACAAGAGAGGUGGGCCGUGCCAAGCGACUGAUGCCACGUGCCGCGCCCCGGGUUUUGGGUGGGAGAUGGGCAAAGCUGGCUGUUGGGAGGUCGCCUCACCCCGGGCGAUUCUGCACCUGCCAGAUCGGCAAACGGGACAACGGGACAAUGAGGCCCCACUGCUGGAUUUUAUCAGGUGCCUCCUGCAACAAGAGACCAGGCCCACCUCUCUCGGGGAUUCUGGGGAAAGCCCAGCUCCUCUGCAGAAGUCAGAAGCCACACCGGAGGUAAUUAACGCAGAGAAACUGGGAGGAAGAAGAAAUUACAGCUGGAACUCCUCCUUUGCACUGGGCCGGCCUCCCUGACUGCUCAGUAGACCCAGUGGCCAGGGCGCCUGCUCCUACUUGUGCAGGUGGAAGGGGUAUCACUGAUAUUUUUUUAAGAUUAAUUAAUUUUAAAAGGAUUUAUAUAUUUUAUGUGUAUGAGUACUUUGCCUGAAUGUAUGUCUGUGUACCAGGUGUGAACCUAUUUCUUGUGGAAACCAGAUAAGGACAUCAGAUCCCAUAGAACUGGCUGUAAGCUACCUUUUGGGUGCUAGGAACCAAAUUCGGGUCCUCUGUAAGAGCAGCAAGUGUUCUUAAUCCCUAAACUGUCCACCUCCCCAGCAUCUAAAUUUCAAACGCUAUUUUUAUGUUUACUUAUUUGUAUGUUGGGGGGGGGCACAAGUGUGCCAUAGCACAUGUGUGGACAUCCGAGAACAACUACGGGAGUCAAUUCUCUAGGGGGUCAAAGCCAGGUCAUUAGGCUUGGUGGCAAGUACCUUCAGCUACUCCCUGCCCUCUGGUGUCACCAUUGUUAAAGCACGUUGCUGGCCAGAGCUUUAACUCAGCAGGCUCUGUGUGCACACAUGUGUUUAUGUAUGCAUAUGUGUGCACACAUGUAUGUUUCCAUGUGUGUUCGUGUGUGUGUGUGGCUCAGAAGCUCCACAGCUCAGCAGCUUAGCUGCUUCUACACUUCAGGAAAACUUCUUGGCCUUGUGGAGAUGGCAAAACAGUUGCCCGACAAGCAUGGGACCUGAGUUCAAUCUGAAGAAUACACAUACAAGCCAGAUAUGGUGGCCCCUGCUUGUACUCCCAGGGCUGGGGAGAUGGGGACAGGGAGGCUCCUGGGGACAGGCCAGCCAGCUAGCCUGCUCAUUGGGUUUCAGGGCAACAAACAAGGUGACAGCACCCAAGGAAUGACAGCCAAGGUUGUCUUCUGAGUGCCAUACACAUUCACAUACACACCCAUGAACACACAUGGGAACAUACAGGUGUGCACUCAUGUGCAUACAUAAACACACGUGUACACACAUUCACACACACAUACAUGAGCAUACACCUGUGAACACACAUACGAACAUACAUGUGUGCACACAUUCACACACACACAUGAACAUACACCUGUGAACACACAUGUGAACAUAUGUGUGUGCACGCAUGUGCAUACAUAAACACACACGUGUGCAUGCACACAGACCUCACUGCUUUGGUAUCACAACCAUUUUCUUCAGUUGUUCCAACUGCCACCUAAAUCCCCAUAUAUCAUUCGUAUUGAGCCCUGGGCAAUGAAACACGUGCACAUAUGCACACUUACAUAGGGAUGUCAAUCCAGGGACAUUACAGAGCCUCUCUAGGAGCAUGGUAGCAGCUGUCCAAUGCCCUGGGGUUGCUCAGCCGAGCAAAGCUUCCAUUUUCAGGGAGCUUGGAGCACAGCUGUGCAUAGGGUCAAUGCCACAUUCUCUCCUAGCGGUUUGCUCCAGGAUCUCUGGGCAGGCCAUCAUGCCCUACCUGGGAUCUGAACCCUGGUCCUCGAGCUUGAAGAGCCACUUCCCCAGCUCCUGAUCUCUGGUUUUCAGCUGGAGGGUUUUGACUGUUCCUGUUUAAUGGGCUGUCUCUGGGGUGGGGCUCAUGUCCGACAUCUUGCCUUGUCCUUGCUGUUUAUCCCACCUGCUCUGUCCCUCCCUCCUCUCUGCCUUGUGUAUUUCUUAGGAUUCCAUUUGUUGCUGUGUCAAGGAUUAAUCAUGUAUCCCAGGCUGGCCUUGAACUUGAUUGUAGCCGAGGAUAGCAGCCUAUAACUUCUGCUCCUCCUGCCUCUAUUUUCCAGUGCUGGGAAUAUAGACCUGUGCUGCCAUAAUUACUUUAUGCCCAGUUCAUGUGGUGCUGGGGGUUGAGCCCGCUUAGACUCUCUUGGACCCCAGUUUAUCCUCUCAUGAAGGAAUAGCAGUGUGUGCUCGCCCAGCUCCGCAAGCCAUGUGUUGUGGUUCCCUCUGUCUUAUGUUAGGCAGUGUGCUGCAUUUGCACUGUGCGGUUGGUUGUUACCAGUUCAUUGUUAGUCUCUGCUCCCCAAAGUCCAAACAAGUGAGGCUCAGCCACCUGCCCCAAUACAUCCAACCCAGAGCCAAGCAGCGCCACCCUGGGGAAGCAGGAACCGCUGCACCUUGGAAGGAGAGAAGAGCCAUGAAAGAGCAGAGCGACUCAGAGAGCAAGGAGAUGGCGUCAGGCCAGCCACUGGCCUCAGGCAGCAACAGGGCCAAGCUCUACGGGGCUAUGGGUCGGAGGGAGGCAGGAGCUCACCUCCAGCACCCACAGAGCCUUGGCAGCAGGAGAGAAGUUAGCUUGAGAAACGCACGGAAUGGAUGAAGAGAAGAAAGCUCGGUCCACUUAAGUGCAUCGAACAUAAAUCGGAGGCUGGUUUCCAGCCCUCCAUAGAGCUGGCCUGGGUCCCCCUCUUUGUGCCGCACUCACAGCCCUGAGCUGUAGUCUGCUCAUCUUUAAGCCCAACAAUCCCCGUGCUAUCUCCCCAGCUUUUCAACCGCUGCAGCUCACGGCCCUGAACACAUUUUGUGAAGGGCUAGAGCUGGACAUAUGCGAACAAUUAAACUCCUCUAGAUCCUCCACCCAGGAGCCAGGCCCUGAGA